rnacentral:lncRNA from 1 species
CAGUGCUUUAGGCUCUCGUAAACUUUAUUUAAAAUUAAGAUUCCCUUUGCAGUAUUUGGGUUGGGGUGUGCGCAAGACAACUUGUGAUUGGUCAAUUGCGAAUUUGGUUUUGGUAAAUCUGUCAACACUGAUGUGUUCGUCUCAUAAUUACCUUGUAGCUGGAGUUACGGCAUUGUCUUGUAUGAGAUUUUCACUUUAGGUGGAAGACCUUACGAUAGAAUGACUGGAGAAGAAGUUUAUAACUUCGUGGCAAGUGGUCACAGAUUACCAAGGACUCCAGCCAUGAGCUCGGAAUUGUAUAAUCUUAUGCUGCAGUGUUGGCACGAGGAACCAUCCAAGAGACCAGCAUUUGGCUCGAUCGCGUCUUGGACAGAAACUGUUGCGCAGGACUACUGAUACCACGGAAAAGAUAUCUUUGUGCCACGACGUUAUGUGGAUUUUGAACUGUAACGUGUCACUUAAAGAGCUUCGUCAAGGAUGGAAAAAAAAAUUCACCCUAAAAUUUUCAAAUUUGCAUCUGUAACAUAUAUAAUCCGUCUCAAAGUUGUCAAGACUUAAAGGUCGGCACACACACACGAGGGGACUCGUCCCUGCAACUAGUCUCCUGAAGAGUUUACACAAAGGGACU